UCCAGGGUAACCUAGUGGACAUGGCAUCUGCCCGGUAAGCGUAACACUGUGGGUUCGAUUCCCAUCCCUGGAC
rnacentral:tRNA from 1 species